AGAGUCACAGGCUUCAGGGCACUGGACGUGAGUAGGAGGAGGCCUGGGAGGCCGCUGCCUGCGGUGCAGGGUGUGUCUGAGGCUCCUGUAGCCCCAACAGACCGAGAUCGGGGUCCCCGUGCCUCCCGGACGCCUCUCUGCUCACAGCGUUCCCGCAGCCCGACCCCCCUGAACCCUCCAGCCUGGGGGCCGGCGCCGCUCAGGUCCUGCCGCCCAGGUCCCAGCGUCCGGAAUGGAUGUGAACUUUGAGGACGUGGCCAUUGCCUUCUCUCGGAAGGAGUGGGGGAUCCUGGAUGAGGCUCAGAGACGUCUGUACUGCGAUGUGAUGCUGGAAGUGUUUGCACUUGUGUCAUCUGUAGGUUGUUGGCAUAAAAUCAAUGGUGAUGAGGCCUGUUCUGAUCAGAGUGUAUCUAUAGAAGGAGAGUCGCGG